GUUUAGAGGCCCAGGUCUUAUUCUUGUGUGUGUGUGUGAAUAUAAGCAUGCUUACAUGUCUUUAAAAAUCAGGUUUGGGAAGAUCUCCUCAAGAUGGCAGUAUAGGCAGACUUGGAACUCACCUUCUCCUGUGAACACAACCAGGUCACACUAUUCUUGGAAAAAUUGCCCCUGGGAGAGAACUGAAAACUGGAUAAAAAGAACCCCCACAACAAGAGACCAUCCUGACUGAGGCAGAAGGGGCAGAAAUUCCAUCUGGAGAGAGAAAAAUUCACCUUUGUGAGCCAUGGAGCUUCACAGUCAGCCAGGCAGGAGCAAAUCUAAGCAACAAAGGGGAUUGCCCUUGCCUUCCAAAGCCUGAAACAACUGGAUGCUCCCUGCCCAGGGCCAGCCCCAUUCAGCUGCAAUCUUAAGAAAGCUGACAACAGCUUUGCAGGCUGGAGGCCUAGAGCAAUUAUAAGUCCCUGAGCCCAGCAACCAGCUACACUGGGUGCCUACUCACUUAACAGAAAAACUGCAAUGAGUGUGCUAUUAGACUUUUCAGACAACUGUGAUUGGGCUCCCUGAAACUGAUUUAAAAAUGGCUGGCCAGGAAGGGAAAGCCUAGACUCCCUGGGUACCUGCAGUCAGAGCAACUCUGCUGCAGCAGAAGGACACAAGUAGCCCACACAAGGGUCACUCCUGGAACAUUUGGACUGGUGACGAGAGGGAAGCACACUGCUGGGCCUCAAAAGGCAUCUCUUACAUAAGGCCACUUCUCCAAGACCAGGAGACAUAGCAGACUCACCUAAUACAUAGACUGAAGCACAGAGAAAGAGGCAUAAUGAGGAGGCAAAGGAAUAUGUUCUAAGCAAGGAAACAGGACAAAACCCCAGCAAAAGAACUAAAUGAAAUAGAAAU
rnacentral:lncRNA from 1 species